CACAAAGCUUGGGGAAUUGUGUCUCAUUGACAAAAUUUUUAUAAAUAAGGCCUCAUUUGUCAAACAAUUUUACAAAUAUUUUUAUUUUUUACUUUUUUUGCUUCUCGCUGCAGCGGCAUUCUUUUAUAGUCUCCGAUGAUAACACCAACAAAUUUAAUUUACAUAAGGCGUAUAUUUAAACAGUUCAAGAAUUCAAUAAUGUCAGUGCACAUCUCCAAGAGGAAGAGAAUACCUGCACCUAAAUGAAUAUCCAAACAGCUAGCCUCUCCUAACUGCAAAUGAGUUACCGCUGAUUACUGGGAACUUGGCAAUAACUGCGCUUGCCGGCUGCACACACUCAACUCAGCCGCCGCACUGUGUUUUUCGGCAAUUGAACCCUUGCAUUAAAGUGGCAUUAAAGCGCCCAAUUCGGCGCUCAGCGGGUAUGCAAAUGAAUUCCUGGCAGCGAAUGACAGCCGAACCGCUACACAACAACAAUUGACAAGCCAGCCAUUAAACAGUUGGAUUCGUUUAGCUGCAGGCACACAUUUAUGCUAAUACGUUACAGUUUCACACACGCAGAUACUCAUUUAUGCAUAUACCGGUUGUUAGUUGCAUGCAGCUUGCUGCUGCCACAUACCGCUGCAGCGGAACCUGCGCUCGCAAUUCGCACAACAAAAAACCCCAAUGCUUGUGAUCACAGUGCACCAACACGUAGCGGUACCACCAAAAUCGGCUAAAAGUCGCACUCAUACACAAAUCUGAUACAUAAAUGUGUGUGCGACCUAAAUUCAAGUUGCAACUUGCAGUAAAUAAAAUAUGUGGUAGCCACAAAAUAAAAAGAGUCAUAAAAAUGCGCAGCCACGAAGUGACGCCAUGGCCCAGCGCCGUGCACAGCAUGUUCACCUGUCACUCGACGGCGUUCGCUGGCGGUCUGCCUCGCAGCUUUUUUCCCCUUUGCUGAAUUAAUUUUUUUUAUUUCCACUUUGCUCGGCUUGCCUUUUGUGGUCACAACGCGCUGAAAUAUUUUAAGGUCAAUAAAGUGGUCAGAAUAGUUGCAGGCGAUCGUCACAUACAGACAAAGGAAGCGUGUGAAAAAAGAGCAAUGACAAGAAAGGCAAGCAUUAAGUUCACUGCAGGCACCGUGGUUUAAAAGCGCAGCGAUUCGGUUUGGGCUAGCACCAGCGGCGAGUAGAAGAACUACUGAGUGAGGCAUUAGUUUUAUUACAUGACGUUGCAUAGCUGCAUUGAGAGUUAGAGCGCACGUGGGUGCAUACAACAAUUAAAUAUGGUAAACCCGCGGAAAAUACUACAGAACAAAAAAAUAUUAAUAAAGAACUAAGCAUGUCCGAUUCUUCGAUUUUAUUAACAUAUAUAACUUAGAAAAGCUUGAAAAUAAAUGGUGACAAAUGUUGAAGUCACGAGGCAUUGGUGGUCUAGUUAAAUGUUGUGCUUGCAAAAAUAAAGUUAACUUAUUUUUAUCUGUGAUUGAUUAUAGUACAAUAUAGCACACAUUUGCUGUCAGUGAACGGAAGAAGUAAAGGAAAGUAUAAUAAUAUUUGAUACUGAGACGUGACAGCUCACUAUUUAUGGAAGCAAGUAAAUAAAGACAUUUAUUUGUUGAACAAAACAUUAAAAAUUUCAAGCUUUUUUUGUCAUUUUGCGAAUCACAAUAACUACAGUAACAUGAAUACUAACUUUCACAUAUCUGAUAUUUUGAUUGUUGCCAAUUUACAGUAAUCCAAUUAACAGUUUAACAAAGUACAGAUUAUCAAUUAAGCUUUUAUUAUGCAAACGAAACAGUAGUAAAAACAAAUAAAAAUUAAACAAUUGUAAAAAAUCACUAACCGUGGAAAAACAACAAAAAAGAUCAAACGCCAGCUAAUAGCAAUCAAUAAAGUAUAGGAAAAUAUAAACAAUCAAAAGCCAGAAAACACACAGAACACUCGCAGCAAAUGAACAUAAUUAUAAUUGUAAUUUACUAAUUACACCAAAGAAAUUUGUUUGUUUGUAUGUUGUGUGUAGUGUAUGUUUAUUAGUAUUUUAGUCGCGGUCAAUGACUAGAGUGGCGAA